AAGAAACUCCGAGUGACCCAUCUGCCCUAUCCCUAACCCGCUCUCGUCUCCCUCCCUAGGACGCAGCCGCCCACCGAAUCAAAUCCCGUCGUCGGGCUCGUCUGCCUCGCCAUGACCGAUGAAUGCGUCGGCUGCGGCCACGCCCCCUCUCCAAACGGCGGCGAUGCUGGAGGGAGCAGCUCACGCUGCCAGGCUCCCGACCGAACGCGUCGGGUCAUCUCUCCUCGAGGCCAACCCCUCCUAUUCACCGCAUCUCUCCCUGACUCCGUCUCCUCCACGAGAUGUAGCACCACCCCACGCCAUGGACGCCCUUGCUGGUUGCAUCUCUCCAUGCGCCGCCAAUCCUAUGACACCGCUGCCCGGCAGUCUCCACCAGCACCACGACGGGCGUGGCCUCUGCACGCGCCGUCACCUCCCCUCUAGAUCCGGCCGUCGUCGAGGGCAUAUCCAUCCAGCAGUGCGCCGUCACCUCCCCUCCAGAUCCAGCCGUCGUCAAGGGCGUAUCCAUCCAGCAGCGCGCCGUCAUCCCAAUCAUCACCGUCCACGGCGUCAUCGCCCAGGCCCAGUCACGGGCCGGCAAGACCUCCAUGAUCUCCCUCUUCGUCUGCCAGGUCAUUGAGACCAACGUCCACGAGUGAUUUCCGCAUAGCUUUUGUGUAUGACGGCUGGAGGACCAACUCAGACCUCGCUUGCCUCAGGGUCAGGAGGUCCAAGGCGCCACAAGACCGGGCCAGGAGUUUGCGUAAACCUGGGCCAGGAGUUUAUUUGAUAAAGGCUUCAAUUUGCGCCCCAUUUCAUGGAUUAACGAUGCCAAGAGCAUACCAUUUGUACAAAGUCCCAAGAUCGAUGUCUUCUCACAUAUCUCACAUAAUAACUACUCGUGCUCUGUUUUUUUCUUUGUAUUCAGGUUUCCAGAAUGAUUGGCCACACCUACCUAAAAAGUUCGGAAUUUAACCAUGAGCCCCUUCUGGCCUGGUUCCAUAUUCCAAGGCCCUUCCAUAAUCCAAUUCUUUGUCCCGAACCACCCAUUGAAGAACAUAGACUGUGCAGAAUAUCAGUUUGUUAUAUUUGCAUCAGAUGAACUAUGGGAGCACUUGAACAAUCAGGAAGUUGUGGAUAUAGUUCAUUGUUUACCUCGGAAUGUAGAUGAUUUGCCAUACUUCCUCAUAUAUUACUCUUUCCCAGUGUACUAAAAUAUGCUUCCCAUUUUAGUCUUGCCUUAUAUUGUUGAUAUGUAACCCAAAUAGGUUAAACCGAAUGUUGUAUCGAAACAUGUAGUAUUUACUUGCAAAAGAGCAACUGAGAGCCUGGUGGGUCGGGAUGAAGGAAGAAUACCCCUGAGAGCCCAAACUCGAGUUCGAAAAUAUAUGCAGAAUAUAUGUUUGCCUCUGCUAUAUACAUAUGUAAUUUUCCAGUCUGUGUUUUCUGCUCCUCUUUGGCGCAAUGUGGAAGAUGUUGGUUUUAAAGGCUAGCAGGGAAGCCAGUGAUGGAGUAAUCAGUGGUUUAUGAGGUCAUGGAGCCCAAGACCGGAUGCAGCAGAAGAAGCAGCGUCGUUGCCGUGCACUAAGAAGGUCAACAGAGUCUGUGAGGCGGAAGAUCCAUAGCAUACAGCGGAUGCGUUGGAUAUGCCAUUCCUCAAUGUGUACCUGGAUUCUCUUUGGGCACCCAAUUUUUGGGCAGGUGUUAUUCUAGCAGCCCGCUUCGCUUUGGUCUUCAGAUUAAGCAAUUCUCUGCAUUCAAGGGAAAGGUCAAUAGCUGCUCUCCAAAGCCAACGCCGGUCUGUAUUCAUCUGCUGAAUCAGGUUGGCCACGACGAGGAGACGGACACGACCGCGUCGUCCCAUCGACCUCCGGGGCCUUUGAUAUCUCAGGGUGUGUGUCAUGUUAUGUUGGGUUUCCUGUGAUUUCGGUGCGGGUAGCUACAUAGCGUCCGUGGGCCAUGCGUGUGACAUGCAUGCUAGGUAAUCUUGACUCCUGUGCGACGGUGCUGGAACCGCCUCCGCUGGUUACGGCCGCCGUGGCUAUGCUUGAAGGCAGAAUCACCACGAUGACUGUAGUUGCCGCACUCAGAUCAGAACGGCAGCCACGGUAUAUGAUCAAGCCUUUACUGUCGUCCUCUGAAUUUGGGAUCACGUGCAUCUGCAAGAGAAAGAGCAUGAGAGCCUAAGAGGGUAGUACCACGUUACGAACAAGUUGAUUUUUAUCCAUGGAAUUGAUCUGAUGCGAAGCUGAUGCCACAUAAAAGGUUAACUGAGUUCUUAUCUCCAAUAUGUCAUGAUGUUACAGUUCAAUUAUUUUCACCUCUCUAGCUACUAUGCACGGAAGGUGUUUGCUAAUUUGCACAAUGAUAUUUUCUGGCAUCUAGCUGCAGGUGGAAUAACAAGAUUCAGUGUGUGCAACGACAACAAUAAAUAACAUGUCAUUAGGGAGACUUCUGACAAUUGAACCCUGCAUUUUUUUGGCAUUAGUACAACUGUUCUACUGCAUUAUUCAACUAUGCGCGAUGAAGCUGAUAUAGGGUGUGGACUAGACAAUUUAUUCAGUUUUCUUCAAGAAGGUAUGCAGAUUGGGCAUCAAAGUAGACGACAAAGGAUGCUGCACCUUACAACUUAAAAAUUGAAAGAUACUUUCUAUUUUAUAUUGAUGUGAUCGCCAGCGAGAACAAAUUUUUGACUGAAUUUGUUUCAUUAAAGUGAAGUUGUUCGGACUUUUCUUUGAAUGUUUCUUUUAGUUGCGUAAAAAAGCAUUGUGGGUAAUUUUUUUGAGCUGAUUAUGAGUAAUGUUUGGUUCCAUGCAGGACCAAGGAAUGAACACGAAGCAAAUUAUAACUCUCAGGUUCAUGGUUUAGGAGCAGGAAAGAACACUUCCAAUUGUGUAGAUGGGUCAUCAGUAGCAUUUCUCUAAUUAUUCUUAUAGAGACUGAUUUGGAUUGUUGAAGGAAAGGAUCUCAAUUCUCAAUAGCAAACUGCACUGGGACAUCUUGGACCUAUUCUCCACAUUUCUGAGCUAGGUUGGACAGCAUGUCAUGGGGGGAAAUCAUUUCUUCCUUCCAAUCCGUGGGCUAAAUUUGUUAUCACCAUGUUUUAAA